rnacentral:rRNA from 1 species
GCGAGGAGCAUAUUCAUAUUCGGAAGAAAGAUCUCUUUUUAAGAGAAAUGUAUUUUUUUAAUUACAACUAGUCGAUUUUACAAACUAAAAGUUUAAAACUUUCAGCAACGGAUCUCUUGGUUCUCGCAUCGAUGAAGAACGCAGCGAAUUGCGAUAAGUAAUGUGAAUUGCAGAUUUUCGUGAAUCAUCGAAUCUUUGAACGCAUAUUGCGCUCUAUAGUAUUCUAUAGAGCAUGCCUGUUUGAGCGUCAUUUCUCUCUUAAACCUUUGGGUUUAGUAUUGAAGGUUGUGUUAGCUUCUGCUAACUCCUUUGAAAUGACUUGGCAAUUGAUUGAGUUUUCCAUAUAUUUGCUUAAGGAUUUAAUAUUAGGUUCUACCAACUUAUUAAAUACCCUUUUGCGAAGGACUUACUCGUGUAUCAAGGCCUUAUAACUUUGUCAUUAAUUUUGACCUCGAAUCAAGUAAGGAUACCCGCUGAACUUAAGCAUAUCUUANCCGGAGGAAGAUCAAGUCCUGUUAGUUGGACCUUGGGAGCCUGAGCUAACAUGCGACGUUAUAAAAAACUCUUAAUACACCGUGCUUGUUGUUUGCCAAAUUUGGUUUAGUUUGGUUGGUUUUCAUUCGAAAGGGAUGAAGAUCGAUGGCUAAAUCUANUCAGCUUUUUAACUCAGAUCUCUGUUUAAGAAGAAAUGUUAUUUUUUAAUUACGACUAGUCGAUUUACGAACUAAAAGUUUAAACUUUCAGCAACGGACUUUGGUCUGCAUCGAUUAAGACGCAGCGAUUGCGAUAGUAUGUGAUGCAGAUUCGUGAUCACGANNNGACGCAAUGCGCUCUAUGGUAUCUAUAGAGC